rnacentral:rRNA from 1 species
CCUUAGGACUGAGACAAUCCCGGGAAACUGGGGCUAAUAUCAGAUGGAUGAGGACUCCUGGAAUGGUGCUUCGUCUAAAGGGCGUCGAAGACAUGCUUUCGAUGUUGCCUAAGGAUGGGACCGCGGCCGAUCAGGUUGUUGGUGGGGUAACGGCUCACCAAGCCUAUAACCGGUACGGGCCCUGAGAGGGGAAGCCCGGAGAUGGAACCUGAGACAAUGUUCCAGGCCUUAUGGGGCGCAGCAGGCGCGAAACCUCCACAAUACACGAAAGUGUGAUGGGGUUACCCCGAGUGCCUUCCUUAUAGGAGGGCUUUUCUCCGGUGUAAGGAGCCGGAGGAAUAAGGAGGGGGCAAGAUUGGUGUCAGCCGCCGCGGUAAUACCAACCCUCCGAGUUGUAGGGAUGAUUAUUUGGCUUAAAGCGUCCGUAGCUGGCUUGGAAAGUCUUCCGUUAAAUCCAGCGACUAAUCGUUGGGCUGCGGAAGAUACUGUCA